AGAUGUGAGGGCGAUCUGGCUGCAACAUCUGUCACCCCAUUGAUCUCCAGGCUUGAUUCUGCUGAUCUGGCUGGUUAGGUGGGUGUUCUCUUCCUCCUUCCCCGCUCCAUGUGGGUCUCUCCUGAAACUGCAUGCCUCUUCAAAGAGGAAGACCUUCCCUGAUAGAGAAAGACCAUUCUUCGGUCAAGGAUAUAUGAGUAGCUGUGCUCCCCUGCUAGAACCUCCAAACAGGCUCGUAAGGUCCAUCAAUAGGAGAAGUUCCAAGACUCCAGACACAUCCAAAUGAGGCACUGCAUGUGGCAGUCUGACUUUUUUU
rfam:Felis catus isolate Cinnamon breed Abyssinian chromosome D2, whole genome shotgun sequence.